UGAUGAACCUUAACUUCCCUGUGUCAGGCCACUUUAUGUGUCCACAGGUUCCAGAGAUCCGGGUGUGGCCAUUGCCGUGCUUGGCACACCAGAGAAUGUGGAUAAUGUAAAGGGUGGUGAAUUGGGGAGUUCAUAGGGUUACAGAGUAGGCAGAUACAGGGUGUGCUAUUAGAAGUGGAUUUUUAUAACUUCUUGCAUUUUGUUAUAACUACUGUCAGGAAAAAUACAUAUGUGUGCACAUGUGCACACACAUACGCUAUUACACUAUAGAAAAAGUCAUUUGUAUUUUCAGUUUAAAUGACGUUUCUAUUUCGCUGUGAUAUCUAAUGUCAGCUACUGAAUGUAAAGAGAAAUUGUAAAUGUGAUAUACAAAAAAUUAUAGUGUUAGUUUGGAGGAAAUUGUCAUUUCUUUAUUCAAAAGUAUAAUCUAGUUAUAAUUUUAUUGACUUAAGAAUGUUAGAAUUAAUCCUGCUUUUAUUGACUUAAGAAUGUUAAAAUUAAUCAUUUUUUAUAGCAUAAAAAAUUCAUCUUGUGAAUUUGUUGUGCUAUAAUUUUUUCUUGACAUUUGACUUCACUGAGGAACCUCUAAUAAAAAUGAUGUUAUUUUUGACAAUAUAAACAUCCUUUUUGGUGCUCAUAUCUGAAUAAUUUUUACAUGGUUUUAACCGUUGUGUACAUGUUCUUGUGUGCUAAGUGGCUUGACUUUUCUGUGACCCUUUCCCCCAGUCAUCUCAUUUAAGGCUGGGUAGUGUGUGCCCUGUUCCGUAUGGCUCCAUCCCCUGAGAUGACAGACAGAUGUGUGAGGUUCUCUAGGAGAAAAGUACCACCUGUAUUUGCAUAAAGCAGAGCUACAGUGGUUCAGCUGUCAGCAGCUUCCUCGUAGAAAAUGUCCCUGAAAUAGAUAUGACAUUUACCUGUAAUGGCUUUCUUUUCCCGUGAAAUUAAUGGUGUAAGGCUUUUUUAAAAACUGCUUUAUCUUUGAAUUUCUCUUUAAAAAUUGACGCUAUUAAAAAAUUUUUUUCAUCAUGUAGUUGCUAAAAAUCAGUGCUAAUGGGCACAAGAUUGAUGAACCUUGAUUCUUGCUACAAGUACAUUAACUCAAAAUUGGCUGUGCUGGAUACUUGGCAGUAGGGAGAUUUUUAAAAAGGAGUCCUAGCCCUACAAGGAGCUCAGAGAUUUGAGCAUAUCCAGUGGCAUGCUAAUAGUUCUGUUACAUGGCAGAAUAGAACUGCUUACAUAAGAAUGGAUGAGGAUAAAACCCAGAAAGCAAAAGUGGUUUCUAGAAGGGUUCUUGAAAAGUGGUGGGAGGUUUGUGUGUGUGUGGGGGGGGGGGGGGGGGCGGGCAGGGGAAGGAGAGAGCACAAUCCAGGCAGAGGGGCUGCUGUUAGCAGUUGUAUCAGUUUGCAGAAAGUUUGUUGGCUGGCUGAGGAGAGGAUUGGGAUGGAAAUGAGCACACUGUGCCACACCCUUUGGGGCAUGCACAUCACUGUUUAAGUCAAGGACAGAGAAGGGUCAGAGUUGUGCUUUUAUGUAACUCACCUGGCCUGAAGGUGGUGGGCAAAGUGGGUUUAUUAUCCAUGUCCUUGAACAGGCAGGCCUGGUGAGGGCCUCAUGGAAGGGGCUGCUGGAAAUGAGGGGAGAGGAUGGAGAGCUGCUUUGGCCACUGGUUUACCUUUGGUGGUUAGUUGGAUAGGGUUGGGGUGCACCUCGCAGCUGCAUGCUAUUUUGCACAGUACCUUUAAGGAGGGCAGGCCACUGUAAACUCACGUCUAGGAGCUAAGUGGGUGUUGGGACAGAAAGAGGGUCUUUAGACAGACAGAACGCGUGUGGUGUUCCUGACACCCUUGGAGCUGGGUGGAGCUUUUGCUCCUGAGGGAAUGGAGGUUGCAGAGUUUGUGCCAAGGUUACUAACUAGGUGAGCAUCCAGCAGCAUUAGACCUGGGUUCUAGGUGAUCAUCAGACCUGCUGUUUGCGUUCUGAGGCUCGGAUCAUCUGCACCAAGCAAGACCCUAGCCCCCGCGGUGCAGCACGCGUGAGAGGAGUGGGCUCCACCCUGGACACUGCGGGGAGGCAGGCAGGGCGGGGCCACCACCGCCUCUUCGCUGGGUCUCCGCGGCCCCGCCCAUCUGCCAACUCCCUCCAGAUGCUGCCCCUGCCCGGACGUGCGGACCCUGGGACCACGGAGCUGCCCUGGGCAUUGGUGCCACGGUGGACCUUAGCCAAGGCCUGCAGGCUGGUGAGGAAAAGAACGUGCUCGGGGGACAGAUGUCAGAGUAGUGCUCUCCGGCUUCAAACUUAGUGACGUUGGCUGCGAGUGAGGAGCCAGGUGUGUGUGCAGGGUUCGCGCGGCGUCGCCCGGCGGCCCUGCGCCUUGGGAAGCCGGCCGGGGAGGCCCCGCUGGCGCCACGGCGGGCGGGAUGCAGGGCGCCCUGCGGGCGGCGGAGGACCACGCCGAAGCUGGGACCCAGCUUCUUUCAACAAAUAGUCGUUUAUGGAGCAGGGCUGUCGAUUUGACUUCCAAAGGAGGAAAUAAAUGGUUAUUAUAAAAACAGCGUCAACAAAUAGGAUUGGAUCAACGAGAAAGGGUAACUGCGAUGUUGGUGGGAACUGUGCCAACUGGAGGUACUCUCAGGACAGUACGUGGUUUCAUCUUAAUCUGCGGUCUCUAUCCUUCAAUUUAAAGCAGAAUGGCAGAUUUGACUACUAGCUUAAUGGCGUUUUACUUUUAAAAGUAAGUGCUAAACUAAGCGCGGAGACUGAUGCCAGCAUGGGUGUUCUUUACUUUUACAAGAAUAUUUUGGUAUAUUUUGUAGAAUUUAUUUAUUUUUAUCUCUCAUUACGGAAUAUUCAUUAUGUUUACUAUAGUGUUUAUUAUCUGCAGGUAGAUAUCGUGGAUUUUUCAAACUGAAGUAUUCCUUUUUUAAA